CAAAUUCAAAGCUAAGGUCAAUACCGUCCUAUUGAAUUCCCUUUCAAUUAACUUCUUUCAGCCCCGUAAAACGCCCGCCCAAACGAGCAAUCUCAAAUCUGGGAACUACGAAGGGCAUCAGCUCUCAAAUCGCAAGGGGAGCUUUAGAUAAAAUGGCCGCAUUGAAGGCGGCGUAUGCAGAGGUAAUACUGAACACGGCAAAGGAAGCAGCGGCGAGAGUGAUAAUUUCGGAGAAAAGAGCAGCGUUGUUUCAGCAGCAACUGGAUUGUUCCAACAAGGAGUCGCUUCGUUUGCUUCUUCAGUUGAAACACAUGAUCGACGACAAGACGAUUGAAGCAGAGACAACAUCCUUGAACCAAAAGAGAAAGAUUGAUGAGCUAGAAGCGCAGCUGCAUGAAGCAGAGGAUAUUAUAACAGAUCUUAGAGUGGAAUUAAAUUGUCUACGGGAUAAGCUUAAAAUUGCAAAGAAAACUCAAGCGAAGCCUUUUAGUGGAGAAAUCAUUAGUGGGGAUGCAACAGCUUCUUUAAAAUAUCCAAUAACUAAGCCCACUGUACAAUCUCCGUUGAAUUCAGGAUAUGUGACUGUUGCAGAAUCUGACAUGAGGGAGAAUGUAUUCAAUCAUGGAUAUCUUCAUAGAUGCUGCAAUGCUACAAAGCAAACUGGUCAACCUAAUGUGUCUCAUGUUGAGAGUUAUUAUCAUCAUAGCUCUGACUUGACCACCAUAUUUAUGGCAAGCAAGAAGCAAGUGCUGUAUACACAGAGAACUUGUGCUCCUCAGAGAAACUUGGAGAUGAAACACACAAUCAAUGGAAAUGUUAAACCAUAUGAAGAUUCUCACACUGUAUCCUCCAUCAGGGUUGGUAAUGUUGAUCGAACAGAAAGCUAUACAAAAUCAGAAGAAGAAUUCCAGCAUAAAAGCAGCAGUCAUGAAGAUAUUAUGACCGUCUAUAAUGGAAAAGUGAACAUAUACAAUCAGCUCACUGAGCCUUAUCAGUCAUCAUUAGUUCCUAGCUCUUCUGCAGUCUGCUUUAAUGUUGAUUCAAAUGAAAGUGACUUGAAAACAGGUGAAACCGAGAUCAAGAUGAAGCCGUUGACCCGUUUGGGUCCUGGACCAACACUUAUUAAAUGUAAAGUGGAUCCUGCAUCAAACGCAACUGAUGAGUCUUCGGCUAUGGUGGAUAGAACCAACGACAGCAUCCACAUCAGGAAGCGCAAGAAGGAAUCCCUUGGGAACACAGAUGAAAAGACUUGUAAAGGGAGAAGUUUAAAAAGGAGGGCUGGGGCUGGGGAGAAAGAGAACAGUUUACAAGAAAUUUCCAAGUCUAAAUUGGUUAAUGAAUGCUCUAAGGAGAGUCGACGACUGGCUCAGGUUGCUCACCAGCUCAUUUCUUUAUCAGGCAAAAGAUGGUAAUUGGUGGAUUAGUUUAACAUUAAUCUAACCAAACAAAGGAAUGUUUGAAACUGUAGGUGUUUCCUGAGGAAUUCCUUUUCAAUGAAAGAGUGGGAUGACGCAGGAGGUGUUUGUUGUUCUUGCAAUGAAAAAACACCAAGGUGGACUUCUUGGACAAAAGCAAAUCCAGGAGAAUGUUUAUGUGUGUCCAAUAUACCAGAUAAAAUUUAUAUGUUCUAAUAAAACUGUAUUUUAAAACAUAUGUUGUUAAUAAAAUUGAAUGCUUAUCAGAUUAUGAUUUUUUUAUA